GCGGCGCGGUGCGGGACGGCCUCUCCCCGCGUGUCCGUGUCCGUGUCCAUACGUGUUUUGCCAUUAUUUUCCAGCGGCUCCGUGGCCAUCCCGGCGCAUUGCCGAUCCUGGGAGGGGAACAAGGAAACGGCGCUUGAGAAGUCGUCUCCGCUCCCAAGGCAGGUCUUGUCUGCACCGCUGUAAGAGCAGGAAUGAGCCCCCCGGAGUAUGGGGUCAGAGCAGAGGCAAAUUACAUGGCGUUUAAACGAUCCUUCCUGCGUCAUGUAUCAAAGUGAACUAUCUUGCCUCAGUAAGGACAUCAUUUGAGUAAAAUGAGUGACAAUUCACAAGUGACAGACUGCAGAUAUGUGCCCUGUCCACUCAUAUUACAAAAAAAAAUAAUAUACAUAAUUUGAUGAACUGAAGAAACACACUGACUUUGCAGACUUAAGUCUCCACAGGAACAAAGCAUGUUCUUCAUUCAGUAACAAGAUUGCUCACGCUGAAACUGAAGAACCCAAAGAAAUUUUAACUAUUAGGCUUAUACAGAGAAAUGCAGGUCAGAAUGGCGUGAGAGUUUUGAAGAAUUUUGAGUAAAACACAUUUCCACAAAAUACAGCUACAACUUAACAACAGCGGUGAGGUUCUGCUGAAAUUCUGAGUAAGAAUUGUGUGAGAGUGCAGAAGGAGUUGUGUCUGUGUCACAUUUGGUAUGAAAGUUUCAGGAAACCGAAUGCUUAUAAAUACAUCUUUACAAAAGCUAAACUUUUAAACAAGAAAGUUCACCAUACCUGAUUAUAUUUAAAUAUAACUCUGUCAACCUGUUCAACAUGUUCUUGAGACUGUUCUAUGAAAUGUAAUAACCAAACCUAAAGGUGUUUCUGUUUCUUCUUGGGCCAGAUAAUAAACCUAAAACAGAUAAAAUGUUCUGCGGUCACAGAGAACCGUCUGGUGUAUGCAGCACACAGUAGUACCACAGAGAUGCUACGUGGAGAGAAACAGAUUUUUAGUAUCUGUCAUCCGCAUUUAAAAAGCAAAAAAUUUCAUGUGACACCACCUCAAGAGUAAAUGCUCAUUAGUGGAAGUACCUACCUUCACAGUUUGUGAAUUUCGAACAAGACUAUGUGGUAACCAGACUGUUUUACUGAGAGCUAGUCCACAGCCCAGCAAAGCAUUUAAGCAUGUACUCAACUCUGUGUGCACGAGCCGUCUCAGGGAAGACUGGGGUAUUUGCCGUAUAUAAAAUUAUGGGUCUGCUUAGCCGCUCUAUUAAGCUGAGACAGCCUUGAAGUUAGAGGCAGAGGAAUCUGUGUUUUGCUGAAUCAGGGUUUUCCCGAGUCUUGCAUGAUUUUCAAACUCUGUCUCUCACUCUCCUUCUCCCCUGUAUUCAGCAGAAGAUUCCCAGAGCUUCCUAAUGGUUAACUCCGACUCUUGGGCACAUUGCUAUAAGCUCUCCUGGCCGCCGUUGCCCUGAAAGGUGAGCCCCUGUGAUUAAGCAGCGCUUCCAGACACACUCACAAGUGAUGCUUCCAGUGAAGCCGGCAAGGCUUUGAUCAGCCCGGUGACACAGGCAGACGAACAACAGCCAGCAGCUAGAGGUUAUACAGAAUAAUGGCAGCUUUUCCAAUGCUAAAUUGUGUUCUAGUGAAUUGGGGGCAAAAAAAAAAAAAAAAAAAAAAAAAAAAAAAAAAAAAAAGACCCAAACAUUGUAAUAAGCUUAAGCAUCGAACAAUACCUGAUUUUGAAGUAGGUUUGCUAACUGAGACCCCAACAGGUAGCUAUGGGAGCUACGGGAGGAGAAACACUUGUGGCCACCACACCCUGGACCUGCCCAAGCACACGUAACCCCGUUCUUCUUCUCCCACCAGUUUCCUACUGGUGUGGCCCGGGCGGCUUCAGCAGAAAGCCUUUCUGCAUGACAGCGUAUUUCACCAAAAUCUUCAUUAGGUUUUGCUAGCUCAAGAAAGCCUUAGGAGGAAGUUCCAGAUUCAGAGAUGUGCGGAUUCACCAGGAACAAGAUCUCCUCACUGACUGAGAAAUAAACGUCCUGAAAGUCACUACAGCUGACACGUCUGAUCGCCUUGCAUCGUCUAGCUGCUCUUUCCAUUCCCACUUAGUCUGUGUUCAUUCUUUGUUGCCUGACCAAUGAUUUCACAUGAUUCCCCCAUAUCUGACACUUCCUCCUUCCUAAUAAAUAAGAGGGAUGUGGUUUUUUCACA